rnacentral:rRNA from 1 species
UGGGGAAUAUUGCACAAUGGGCGAAAGCCUGAUGCAGCGACGCCGCGUGAGGGAUGACGGCCUUCGGGUUGUAAACCUCUUUCAGCAGGGACGAAGCGCAAGUGACGGUACCUGCAGAAGAAGCACCGGCUAACUACGUGCCAGCAGCCGCGGUAAUACGUAGGGUGCAAGCGUUGUCCGGAAUUACUGGGCGUAAAGAGUUCGUAGGCGGUUUGUCGCGUCGUUUGUGAAAACCAGCAGCUCAACUGCUGGCUUGCAGGCGAUACGGGCAGACUUGAGUACUGCAGGGGAGACUGGAAUUCCUGGUGUAGCGGUGAAAUGCGCAGAUAUCAGGAGGAACCACGGUGGCUAAGGCGGGUCUCUGGGCAGUAACUGACGCUGAGGAACGAAAGCGUGGGUAGCGAACAGG